UACGAAGGGGGCUAGCGUUAUUCGGAAUUACUGGGCGUAAAGCGCGCGUAGGCGGUGAUCUAUGUCAGAGGUGAAAUCCCGGGGCUCAACCCCGGAAUUGCCUUUGAAACGGGAUCGCUAGAGUCCGAGAGAGGAUGGCGGAAUUCCUAGUGUAGAGGUGAAAUUCGUAGAUAUUAGGAAGAACACCGGUGGCGAAGGCGGCCUCCUGGCUCGAUACUGACGCUGAGGUGCGAAAGCGUGGGGAUCAAACAGG
rnacentral:rRNA from 1 species